GCCAGCAUGGUAUAAUGGUUUGAAAGCUCGGCUACAACUCUGGAGACCAGGGUUCAAAUCCCUGCUUGGCC